AUGCCAUUCAUAACAUGCAGCUACGAGAUAAUUCUCAAGGUAUCCAUAGGCAUGAUAUCCACCUUCCCAACCGUCGUUUUAUUUGUUUUCUUAUUUGUAUUUAUACAUGCAGACGACACUGCUUCCGAACAUCAUGAAACUCUAUCAUUAAAUAAUGAAUGCAAAAAAUACGCGGAUAAUGCAAGGGCGGAGUACAAUGCAAGGAAGCGUGCAGCUUAUCGGAUUAAACGAAAUGAGGAUAUUGUCAGCUUACAAAAUGAGAAUCAGCCGGUAGUUGCAAAAUCUGGUAAGCUUGAUGGACACUCUUAG
rnacentral:rRNA from 1 species